rnacentral:rRNA from 1 species
GUGAGGAAUUUUCCGCAAUGGGCGAAAGCCUGACGGAGCAAUGCCGCGUGAAGGAUGAAGGCCUAUGGGUUGUAAACUUCUUUUCUCAGAAAAGAAUUAUGACGGUAUCUGAGGAAUAAGCAUCGGCUAACUCUGUGCCAGCAGCCGCGGUAAGACAGAGGAUGCAAGCGUUAUCCGGAAUGAUUGGGCGUAAAGCGUCUGUAGGUUGUUUAAAAAGUAUUCUGUCAAAGAUUAGGGCUUAACCCUAGAUAGGCAGAAUAAACUUGUAAGCUAGAGUUUGGUAGAGGCAGAGGGAAUUCCGGUGGAGCGGUGAAAUGCGUAGAUAUCGGGAGGAACACCAAAGGCGAAGGCACUCUGCUGGGCCAAUACUAACACUGAGAGACGAAAGCGAGGGGAGCAAAUGGGAUUAGAAACCCCAGUAGUCC